CACUCCUACGGGAGGCAGCAGUAGGGAAUCUUCCACAAUGGGUGCAAACCUGAUGGAGCAAUGCCGCGUGAGUGAAGAAGGUCUUCGGAUCGUAAAGCUCUGUUGUUAGAGAAGAACACGUGCUAGGUAACUACUAGCGCCUUGACGGUAUCUAACCAGAAAGUCACGGCUAACUACGUGCCAGCAGCCGCGGUAAUACGUAGGUGACAAGCGUUGUCCGGAUUUAUUGGGCGUAAAGGGAGCGCAGGCGGUCUGUUUAGUCUAAUGUGAAAGCCCACGGCUUAACCGUGGAACGGCAUUGGAAACUGACAGACUUGAAUGUAGAAGAGGAAAAUGGAAUUCCAAGUGUAGCGGUGGAAUGCGUAGAUAUUUGGAGGAACACCAGUGGCGAAGGCGAUUUUCUGGUCUAACAUUGACGCUGAGGCUCGAAAGCGUGGGGAGCGAACAGGAUUAGAAACCCUGGUAGUCCCAUGAU
rnacentral:rRNA from 1 species